ACGACACACUCCUCACUUUUUUCAGGUCUGAUCUCAGAUGUCACCUUCUCAUCAGAGCUGUCCUGAACUGCCCAGUCUCUGUCCCUGGAUACCAGUCCAAAGACUCCUCAGAAAAGCAUCAAAAGGAAUACAUAACCAGAGGCCUCUGAAAUGGGUGACACACCUUUGGCUGGAUAUGUAAGAGCUCAAAGAGGAAAGGGCUCACCUUUCUUCAUCACCUGAAGGUGCCAAGUGAGUACAUCCAAAAACUUACGAGAAAGGCGGUGCCUCUGACUCGUGUUGGCCUUUGA
rnacentral:lncRNA from 1 species